rnacentral:rRNA from 1 species
UACAGAGGGUGCGAGCGUUAAUCGGAAUUACUGGGCGUAAAGCGUGCGUAGACGGCUAUCUAAGUCGGGUGUGAAAGCCCCGGGCUCAACCUGGGAAUUGCAUUCGAGACUGAAUAGCUAGGGUACGGUAGAGGGAAGCGGAAUUUCCGGUGUAGCGGUGAAAUGCGUAGAUAUCGGGAGGAACACCAGUGGCGAAGGCGACUACCUGGCCUGUUUCUUGACGCUGAGGCGCGAAAGCUAGGGGAGCAAACGGG